CGGACGGGUGAGUAACACGUGGAUAACCUACCUAUAAGACUGGGAUAACUUCGGGAAACCGGAGCUAAUACCGGAUAAUAUAUUGAACCGCAUGGUUCAAUAGUGAAAGACGGUUUUGCUGUCACUUAUAGAUGGAUCCGCGCCGCAUUAGCUAGUUGGUAAGGUAACGGCUUACCAAGGCAGCGAUGCGUAGCCGACCUGAGAGGGUGAUCGGCCACACUGGAACUGAGACACGGUCCAGACUCCUACGGGAGGCAGCAGGU
rnacentral:rRNA from 1 species